UUCGAUUUUAAAACAUGGCCUCACAAUGUUUGUGUCUUUUCUGACUUGCAGAACUCUGAUCCCAGUGAAGACGUUAACCUGUGCACCGCAUAUGAUGAACUGUAACCCAUCCUGACCACUGCAUCGCCUCCAGAACAACAUUUACUCAUGUGAUCUA